rnacentral:tRNA from 1 species
GGCUUGGUAGCUUAGUUGGUAAAGCACUCAUCUAGCAUACAAGAGUCCUGGGUUCAAAUCCCAGCCGAGCAC